CCACCACUAAGCCAGUGGUGAACUCCACAUACGCAUCCUUUGCUGAGGAUACGGUUAACGGAGCGAAAGCGACGUUCAACCUCAAAAGAAGCAGAGGGGGCUUAGUGGUGGGGUGACUGCGUACCUUUUGUAUAAUGGGUCAGCGACUUAUAUUCUGUAGCAAGGUUAACCGAAUAGGGGAGCCGGAGGGAAACCGAGUCUUAAUUGGGCGUUAAGUUGCAGGGUAUAGACCCGAAACCCGGUGAUCUAGCCAUGGGCAGGUUGAAGGUUGGGUAACACUAACUGGAGGACCGAACCGACUAAUGUUGAAAAAUUAGCGGAUGACCUGUGGCUGGGGGUGAAAGGCCAAUCAAACCGGGAGAUAGCUGGUUCUCCCCGAAAGCUAUUUAGGUAGCGCCUCGUGAAUUCAUCUCCGGGGGUAGAGCACUGUUUCGGCUAGGGGGUCAUCCCGACUUACCAACCCGAUGCAAACUGCGAAUACCGGAGAAUGUUAUCACGGGAGACACACGGCGGGUGCUAACGUCCGUCGUGAAGAGGGAAACAACCCAGACCGCCAGCUAAGGUCCCAAAGUCAUGGUUAAGUGGGAAACGAUGUGGGAAGGCCCAGACAGCCAGGAUGUUGGCUUAGAAGCAGCCAUCAUUUAAAGAAAGCGUAAUAGCUCACUGGUCGAGUCGGCCUGCGCGGAAGAUGUAACGGGGCUAAACCAUGCACCGAAGCUGCGGCAGCGACACUGUGUGUUGUUGGGUAGGGGAGCGUUCUGUAAGCCGUUGAAGGUGUGUCGUGAGGCAUGCUGGAGGUAUCAGAAGUGCGAAUGCUGACAUAAGUAACGAUAAUGCGGGUGAAAAACCCGCACGCCGGAAGACCAAGGGUUCCUGUCCAACGUUAAUCGGGGCAGGGUGAGUCGACCCCUAAGGCGAGGCCGAAAGGCGUAGUCGAUGGGAAACGGGUUAAUAUUCCCGUACUUGGUGUUACUGCGAAGGGGGGACGGAGAAGGCUAUGUUGGCCGGGCGACGGUUGUCCCGGUUUAAGCGUGUAGGUGUGUGUUCCAGGUAAAUCCGGUUCACUUUAACACUGAGGCGUGAUGACGAGGCACUACGGUACUGAAGCAACAAAUGCCCUGCUUCCAGGAAAAGCCUCUAAGCAUCAGGUAACAUCAAAUCGUACCCCAAACCGACACAGGUGGUCAGGUAGAGAAUACCAAGGCGCUUGAGAGAACUCGGGUGAAGGAACUAGGCAAAAUGGUGCCGUAACUUCGGGAGAAGGCACGCUGACA
rnacentral:rRNA from 3 species